rnacentral:rRNA from 1 species
GCGAGGCCGAAAGGCGUAGUCGAUGGGAAACAGGUUAAUAUUCCUGUACUUGGUGUUACUGCGAAGGGGGGACGGAGAAGGCUAUGUUAGCCGGGCGACGGUUGUCCCGGUUUAAGCAUGUAGGCUGAUUGUCCAGGCAAAUCCGGAUAAUCAAGGCUGAGGUGUGAUGACGAGGCACUACGGUGCUGAAGUAACAAAUGCCCUGCUUCCAGGAAAAGCCUCUAAGCAUCAGGUAACAUUAAAUCGUACCCCAAACCG